AGGGAAUCUGUCCAAAAAAGGUGUAAGGGUUUGGGACAAUAGGAUGAAUACGAAUAACAGCUUCAGUAAUGACUCUAAGGUCGGAGCCAUUUGGUUUCUUUACAGCUAAAAGGGGGGUGUUACAAGGUCAAAUCAAAGGCAAGAAUUAAAGCUCGAAAUUCUUGAAUGAACUUAGUGGGAUCCUGGCUAAAUGAACCCAGUGUGGAUUCGAGAAAGAUCAGACAUUGGAAAAGGGACAUGAACUUGAAUUGUUCCCAAAUCUCCAUUUGCCACCUUGUGGAGAGGUAACCAGGAGAAGCUGUUGCAACCACCAAGGGAGGGUGUUUCCUCAGGCCGAGAGCUUAUUGGGAGCUUCGGAGCUACGAACCACAGCAAGCUGCAGGGCAGGCAACUGACCUUUGUCACCCAGGAGUCCAGGGGAUAAGGGCCACCUGGCCACGUGGCCAGGCCGUUCCAGCCAAGGCCAGCAGCAGCAGUGCCCUGGGAGUGGCCUCUCGCAGCUGUGAAACGGGAGCUGAGGGCACCACCUGCUCAGCUCAGCCGCCUUUCUGGGCCCUGGGGUGGGCCUGGGCUGGCAGGAUGGGGCGUGAAGUCCGGGUCAGGACCCGGGACUGGCCUGCCUUGCCCUCCUGGGCAGGACUGACCUGGGGUUGUCUUAGUUCCCCAGAUGAAGUCACCAGCGGAACCAGCCGGCCUGCUACCUGACACACAAGGCCAGGAACUGAGUAUCUUUUAAAAGUUUAACUUGUUUUGUUAUAACUGAUAUAAAAUAAUGCAAACA
rnacentral:lncRNA from 1 species